AAGAAAAAAACAGAAGAAAAACUAGUAUCUCAAUUGUUUUUAAAACAAUUGAAAGGUCUUUCCUGUAAAAGUGAUGUUUUCGUAAUGUACUUUGUACGACCUUUCGUUUGAUAUACGACAAGCAUACCUUCUGAAACUUUUCACUUUUAACACUUAAUGACCUCAUCCGCCUACAUUUUUGAGAUCGGAAGUAUGAUAUAUGUAACAUAUAGUAGAUGAGCUUUCAUUUGAUAUGCGACAACGCCAUGUUCUAGAAAGUUUGAUUUUUGCACUUAAUAACCCUAUCCAACUAAUUUUUGGAGGUCGGGAAUUUGAUAUUUCAAAUGUACACAUCAUGACCUUUCAUUUGAUAUACAACAACCCUAUCUUAAAAGAAAAUUUAUUUUUUGCACUCAAUAACCCCAUCCAACCC
rnacentral:lncRNA from 1 species